rnacentral:rRNA from 1 species
CGGAGGGUUCUAUAAUGCAGUCGAGCGGACAGAUGGGAGCUUGCUCCCUGAUGUUAGCGGCGGACGGGUGAGUAACACGUGGGUAACCUGCCUGUAAGACUGGGAUAACUCCGGGAAACCGGGGCUAAUACCGGAUGGUUGUCUGAACCGCAUGGUUCAGACAUAAAAGGUGGCUUCGGCUACCACUUACAGAUGGACCCGCGGCGCAUUAGCUAGUUGGUGAGGUAACGGCUCACCAAGGCGACGAUGCGUAGCCGACCUGAGAGGGUGAUCGGCCACACUGGGACUGAGACACGGCCCAGACUCCUACGGGAGGCAGCAGUAGGGAAUCUUCCGCAAUGGACGAAAGUCUGACGGAGCAACGCCGCGUGAGUGAUGAAGGUUUUCGGAUCGUAAAGCUCUGUUGUUAGGGAAGAACAAGUGCCGUUCAAAUAGGGCGGCACCUUGACGGUACCUAACCAGAAAGCCACGGCUAACUACGUGCCAGCAGCCGCGGUAAUACGUAGGUGGCAAGCGUUGUCCGGAAUUAUUGGGCGUAAAGGGCUCGCAGGCGGUUUCUUAAGUCUGAUGUGAAAGCCCCCGGCUCAACCGGGGAGGGUCAUUGGAAACUGGGGAACUUGAGUGCAGAAGAGGAGAGUGGAAUUCCACGUGUAGCGGUGAAAUGCGUAGAGAUGUGGAGGAACACCAGUGGCGAAGGCGACUCUCUGGUCUGUAACUGACGCUGAGGAGCGAAAGCGUGGGGAGCGAACAGGAUUAGAUACCCUGGUAGUCCACGCCGUAAACGAUGAGUGCUAAGUGUUAGGGGGUUUCCGCCCCUUAGUGCUGCAGCUAACGCAUUAAGCACUCCGCCUGGGGAGUACGGUCGCAAGACUGAAACUCAAAGGAAUUGACGGGGGCCCGCACAAGCGGUGGAGCAUGUGGUUUAAUUCGAAGCAACGCGAAGAACCUUACCAGGUCUUGACAUCCUCUGACAAUCCUAGAGAUAGGACGUCCCCUUCGGGGGCAGAGUGACAGGUGGUGCAUGGUUGUCGUCAGCUCGUGUCGUGAGAUGUUGGGUUAAGUCCCGCAACGAGCGCAACCCUUGAUCUAGUUGCCAGCAUUCAGUUGGCACUCUAGUGACUGCGGUGACAACCGGAGAGGUGGGAUGACGUCAUCAUCAUGCCCUUAUGAACUGGCUACCACGUGCUACAAUGACAGACCAGCAUUAAUCCGCGAGGUAAGCAUUCCCACAAUCUCGGUUUCUCCGCUUCGGGAUCGUACGAA